rnacentral:rRNA from 1 species
CCUACGGGUGGCAGCAGUGGGGAAUAUUGCACAAUGGGCGAAAGUCUGAUGCAGCAACGCCGCGUGAAGGAAGAAGGGUUUCGGAUUGUAAACUUCUAUCAACAGGGACGAAGUAAAUGACGGUACCUGAAUAAGAAGCCCCGGCUAACUACGUGCCAGCAGCCGCGGUAAUACGUAGGGGGCAAGCGUUAUCCGGAAUUACUGGGUGUAAAGGGUGCGUAGGCGGCUUAGUAAGUCAGAUGUGAAAUCCUUGGGCUUAACCCGGGGAUUGCAUUUGAAACUGUUAUACUGGAGUACAGUAGAGGAUAGCGGAAUUCCUAGUGUAGCGGUGAAAUGCGUAGAUAUUAGGAGGAACACCAGUGGCGAAGGCGGCUAUCUGGACUGAAACUGACGCUGAGGCACGAAAGCGUGGGGAGCGAACAGGAUUAGAUACCCGGGUAGUC